UUUAACAGUCCCUUUUCCCCUCAAAGACUUCCAAAAAGAAAGCUAGGUAUCCUCUUUUAGGGUAUAUUUUUGUCUCCAAAAUUUCCCUUAUACCAAUGGAUAAGAAAAAAAAUGACUUGAUUUCAGGUUCCAGGUGCUUGGAUUUAUUCUUCUUCUUAAAAUGUCUCUGAGUAGUGGGACAGAAAUUUCCCCACCCUUCUCCUCAUGAAGCUGUGUAGACAGGCCACAAAAGAAAAGAGCAACUGACUUUCUCAUUUCUACAUGACUUGACCAUGUCACCAACACCUGUGUCAAAAUGAAGUUUCACCAGAUGCAGUCAGGCCUCCGCAGGGGCUGCUGAGCCGCAGUGUCUCCAGGAAGACCCGCUGAUGAGUCACACUCCAAUCCACUCAUCAGACCACCGUGCUGCUGGCCUUCUGUGGUCUGGUAAGAGCCAGAGCACUUGGAGAAAAAUGCAAAUGCGUCUUUAGUACCUACAUAAAAGUUUUACAGAAAUAUGCAAAUAAGACUUAAAGCUGUGGACAAGAAGAGGAAUUGGUCCCAAAUCUCAUCACAGCUAUGACAAGGAUAACAUCCCUGCCUCUGGGAGCCUGGCAGCACCUUUUGCAUACUGGUGAGAUUGCACUCUGGCCUGUGCAGAAGAGGAGGCUACUGGAUAGCAUGAGACUCUGUGGUGAUGGGAGAGAGAGCACAGGGUGAGUCUUUUCUCACCCAUUUGGGUAACAAAACAAAGAACCUGAGAAAUACCUAAGUUGUGCUUUACAGACUUGAACUCAGAGAAGGAUGAGCUUGGAAAUGCCCAGGGUUCCAUGAUGGUAAGCAUCAAAUUUUUCAAAAGAUGUAAGAAAAGAAAAAUGAAGUCUGAUGCAUCCACAAGCACAGCUUUCUGGAUAGUGAACAAAGAGCUAAGAUACACAUCUCUGGGUUCAUUGAAACAACCUCUAGAACAGUUUCACAUAUUUCCUUUUCUCUGUUUCUUUCAGCUCUUUCAACCAAACCAUGAGUCAUUUUCCAAUGUGGCAGUCUAUUCCUCUAUGUUUAAGUCACUU
rnacentral:lncRNA from 1 species